rnacentral:rRNA from 1 species
AAGAAGUCUCGGCUAACUACGUGCCAGCAGCCGCGGUAAAACGUAGGAGGCGAGCGUUAUCCGGAUUUACUGGGUGUAGAGCGCGUGCAGGCGGUUGGAUAAGUGCGGUGUGAAAGCGCCUGGCUCAACCGGGCGAGGACGCCGCAGACUGUUCGACUGGAGGCAGGGAGAGGUCUGUGGAAUUCCGGGUGUAGUGGUGAAAUGCGUAGAGAUCCGGAGGAACACCAGUGGCGAAGGCGGCAGACUGGCCCUGACCUGACGCUCAGACGCGAAAGCACGGGGAGCGAACGGGAUUAGAAACCCCGGUAGUCCGUGCCGUAAACGAUGCAGACUAGGUGUCGGCGACGCGAGUCGGCGGUGCCGCAGCUAACGUG